GUUGUCUUUUUUCGGAGUAGUUUUUCAAUUUACUUGACUCUUCCAAUAGCGCGCUUGCUCUCUAAAUAAACAAGCAUUUGUUUUACUUGUUUUGCUGCCACACGUUUUUGUUGGCCAUUUGUUUGCGUGACUAUGGUUGCUUAUGGUUCAAACGAGUAGCGACUGUUGACGCGUUUGCACGAGCAAAUCGGCGCGUACGCGUUAUCAUAAAAUUUUUUUGUUUUCGAGGCGAGUUUUUCGAGCGAACGCCAAAAAGCAAUUGAAAAAAAUCUUUAAUUGAAGCAAAAGUUGAACAAACAAUUGGCAAAAAUUGUCUAGCCACGCAUGUACGCGCAGGAAAUAAAGAAACUCACAUCUGCGCUUUGGAUGUGUUGUUGUUUUAGCUAAUACUGGUGUGCAGAUUUAAGCCUAAAGUCAAAGUCUGCAAAACAACAAAAAAAAAUUUGCGAGUAGAAAAUGCAAUAUGAAAUAAAAUACUGUCAUUUCUCAACUGGU